rnacentral:rRNA from 1 species
GACGAAGGGGGCUAGCGUUGUUCGGAAUUACUGGGCGUAAAGCGCGUGUAGGCGGCCUUGUAAGUCCGUUCUGAAAGCCCGGGGCUCAACCCCGGGAGGCGGAUGGAUACUGCAAGGCUCGAGUACGGAAGAGGCGAGUGGAAUUCCCGGUGUAGCGGUGAAAUGCGCAGAUAUCGGGAGGAACACCAGUGGCGAAGGCAGCUCGCUGGGACGGUACUGACGCUGAGACGCGAAAGCGUGGGGAGCAAACAGG